CAGCAGCUUCACUCGUAAAAGGAAGACAAUAGCAGAAAAAGCACAAAAAAUGAAUUUGGACAGUGCAAAAGGCUGAACAAGAGACAACACUGACAUCACUUUUCAACCAUGGCGACAACUGAGGGAACAGAGGAGCUCAAAAGCAAUGCGAUUGUGGCUGUAUUUCUCUUAGACAGAUUGAUGAGACCACUGGCCCUGCUCCACCUCCACCAUUUCAUCAGAGUUUCUCAUCCCACCGCUGUUUGGCUAUUCAACAUGGACAUCUGAAACCCUCUGCUCCCGCUCAUGCACAAAUGUCUGACUUCGUGGGACUCGGUGGCAGCCAGAUAAAAGCAAAGCAAAGUGAUUCACCUGUGGCAAGAGGAGCCCUUUGCUUUUAGGGGUUGCUCACCCACACACGAUGUGGGUUCAAAGCAUCCUUACCUGAGAGAGGGAGGCAGAAGCUCAGACAGAGACAGAGAGCGAGACAGUGGAGCGAGAUGAGGGAAAGAGAGGAGAUGAACAAGGGGUGACAGAGGGGGGAAAGAGAAAGAGAAGAUGGGGAAGCAGUGACACAGGAAAUGCAGAGAGAAUGGGGCAGGGAAAGUGAUGAUGAUGGUGGCGGUGGUGGUGGCGGGGGGUGUCGGUAGCCGCUCAGCCGGCUAUGAGAGCAACAGCAGCGUGGGCACUGAAGUAGAAUAUUUUUCCAACAUCAUGGUAGGAGAGCCUCUGAGUGCCCCUGUUAUUAGGUGUGUUUGUGUUGCCGAGCCUUCUCUUUUCUGAAGGAAACAAGUGGCUUAUGGUUCAGUACUAGCCGUCACCAUGGAUGUCAGAAAAACAAAAUGCUGAUAAGCAUGUGUCCAUAUCUUUCAGUCUUAUAUGAAAGCAAUGUGAAAUACAAACGUGUGACUCAUACUGCCCUGUAUACCAACAAUCAAUUAAUGUCUUUAUCUCUCAAUUAGAGAGAGAGAGAGAAAAAACUAAACUAUUACUAACUACAUUUUUUAUUGCUCCUUAUAUGGUGAUAUUUAGACUACACAUUUUUGCAAAAUGCUCUUCAUUAUAGUUGAAUGAUGAUAAAAGCAUGAGCUGUGCUUGUGGAAGUGAACUGAUUUUAUUUGCAGAGCUUAGGACAGAAGACAAAAUUAUUUGUUUGCAAUGUAAUGUCAUGUGUAAGAAGUUAUGCUCUUGUCUUACAAAUGUGCAAUUCCAUUUUUGGUGUCUCAUAAGUUGAUAUGGGCUGGGCACUUAUUUAUGGAUAAUACAAUAAAAAACAUAACU